rnacentral:lncRNA from 1 species
GGUUCUUUCAUGUGACUCCCUCUUUCCUUUCAUUUGUGGAUCUUGAUGAGGCAUCUGCACUUUUCUUGAUUCUCUUAACUAUAUCCUAUUUUGCUACAUCAUUUCCCAUCCUCUUCUUCUUUUUAUACCUAAGGUUCUCAUAAUACUAAUUUAUAAUAAUAAAUUUAACAAGAACAUAUUGACAAUACUAUGUACUAAUAAAAAUUCAUUUCUUUCAAGACUCCUUUAAGUAUUUUAUAUCUGUGAACUCUUUUAAUACUCAUUACAAUCAAAAUUAGAUUUUUUGCUAUAACCUUCAGUCUAUAAUUCAGAGAAUAAAGCACCAACAGGUAAGUAACUAGUCUUCGAGGCCAUACAGCCAAUAAGUAAAAGUCCAAAGUCAGAUAAUCCUACUCCUAAUACUACUCUCUAGACAGCUAUGCUCUGUUGUCUCUAUGGGAGUGUAGAGCAUAUUUUAUACAUUUUGAAAUUGUGUGUUCUUUCAUUUCGUUCUACAACAUAGACUAAAACUAUUUCUCUAUUUAUUUUAUAGGAUGCCAUUAUUUAUAUGAUACUCAGGAAAUGUUUGUUAAUGAAUAGUCAUGCACUAAAAUACUCAGUGCAGCACACAUCUGAAGCUGAUUGUUAAAAUAAGCAGGUGAUAUGUACUCACAUCUGUGGUAGUAAACAGUACCUGGAAAUGAGAGUAGCUACAACUACAAAUCCCUUGCCGUCUGGUGCUGUAAAACUCCUUCCCCAGGUCCCUAAUUUUGUCGCCUUGUCUUCAGUGUCUGCAGGCUCUUUUAUAGAAAGAAAAUGACUUCUUUAUUUGAGACAAGAGGGCUGGUUGGUACCACAACUCAACAUGCUUCUAAAUGAUAUGAAAGUAAAUAAAUGUUUAUCAAAGAAUGACUUAUAUUAGAACACUGUGAAAGAUGAGAAUAUGUAUUAAAAUACACAAUUGACUCCUCCACAGCUGCUUCAUCUUUCUACUCUAUCCUUCAGUGUCAUUUAUUAAACCUUUAAAACUUAUUUGACAUUUCAUACAUGUAUAUAAUUCCUUCUAUUACUCUUUUAUCUCUCAUCUACCCCUAUCCACACUCCUGCCUACAAAACAUGUUCAUAUGGGUGUCAUUUUGUUUUGACUUGUGAAUCACUGGGUUUAACCAGGAGAACCCCUCGGUCUGAAGGUGUGGAAUUACCUAUUAGUCUAGUCUAUCAGCUCACCAGUGGGUACACAGCUGAAGAAAGUGAAUGCCCUUCCUCCAAAAUCCAUCAAUAGACAACAGCCCGCCAGGAAUGAGUGAGGCCACAUGCUCUUCUCUCUCAUCUAUGACUGAUCAAUGACAAGCUCAGUCGUGUGCUGGCCCAGUGCAGAUCAAGGCAGCUGUCAUUAGUUCAUGAUUAUGAUGGCUAUGUUAUGUCCUGGAAUAGUAUUUAACAUUCUUUCUACCUUCUAGUUUACUACAUCCUACGUCAGCCUUCUGCUGAUGUUCCCUGAGCCAUAGAGAUGAUGACAAAAAUGUCUUGUUUAGGGCCUAGUAACCAACCUUAAGUAAGUCUUAGCACUCUAAGUGGCCUUGAGUUUUUACACUCAGCAAUGUUCACCAAAAAGAGAAUCUUCCAUAUCAAAGCUAAGAGAUUUGUCUGCAUAUGGACAUUGUAGGACCUUCUACUGGAAUAUAAGUAGUCUCUAAGGGGCUGCCUACUUGAUGAAAGCCAACUCCCCAGCCCCCAACAGUUUCAGUUAUUAAUGGCUCCUCAGGGAUUUCAUGAUCCUGUUUCCCAUCUGUGCUGGCCUGUUUGCUGGCUUAUUGUAUAGGUCUUGCACUAAGUAACAAAUGCUGAGAGAUCAUGUGUGUGAUGGUUCUAUAAUGUCCAGCAGACACUAUUUCCCAGAAGAUAUCCAGUACCACUAGCUCUUACAAUACUUCUGCCUCUUUUAUGAUUUUCCCAGAGCUUUAGGGUUAGGGGUCAGGAGAGGGUAAUUGAUAUAGGUUGUCUAUAUAGAGCUGAGUAUUUUACCAUCUUUUAUUCUCCAGUUGUUGGACCAUUUUAAUCAUCUAUAUUGAUUGCUGUCUACUGAAGGGUUGAGAGACAUUAAUCUGUGGUUAUGAAGAUAAGAAGUAGAAACAGUUUAUUAUUAUGUGAAUUUAGCAGAAUAAUAGUAUUAGGUUCUCCCCUAGAGUCCAUGACCUAGUCAUAAAGGUUUUGUUCAGCUAAUGUUACUAGGUAUGUAUGAGUACCUACACUUUAAGUAAAUCGUAUGGAGCAAGAUUUAAAUCUACCUAGUAACAGAUAUCACAUUAAUAGUUAUGAAGAGAAGCAUGAGUAAUUUCUACUGUUUAUCUUAUAUUAUAAAAUAGAUUUUUCCCAUACAGUAGAUUCUGGUUAUGAUUUCCCUUCUCUCAAGUCUUCCAUGAUCCUAUAAACCUCCCCUCCCAUCAUAAUCCAUACUUUCUGUCUCUUGUUAGCCAAACGAUCAUCUAAAUAAUAACAAUAACAUAAAACAAGACUAAUUAUAAUAGAAUAAGACAAGCAAAUGGGAGAAAAAAAGCCAAAUAAAAAGUACAAGAAACAUAAACUCAGAAAUACACACAUUUACACACAAAUGUUGCGCCCACCUCAUCCGGCAAGGAAAAAUGCAACAUGUUCGGAUUCUUCUCAACAGCUUUAUUCCAGGAACACCUCCAUGCUACGGGAACUCCGGGAACCCAGGGAGGACUGCUUAUAUACACUCCAGCACUGGGGAGAGCUAUGUAUCCUCCUGGGAUUGGUCAGUCUGCCGGCACUUUAAUUUGUAUGCACCCGCUCAGGAGGGGUUGGCGCCAGAUUCGGGCUAGCGCCUGCAUUUACGGAGAUGGUGUACCAGAGGCCGGCGCCAUCUUUUAGGAGCCUGGCUGCCUACACACACAGACCUUUGUACCUUCUCUUCUUUCAUCCCACUUCCUCCUGUUCUCCAUUCUAAAGAGGCUGUAAGCUCACCUAACCUCCAAUCUUUUCAGGCAGAUGCCAUAGCAAAAAUCUACCAACUAGGAAGCAUUGAAAAUAGAGAAAUUGGUUUUUGUAAUUUUUAAGUCUGAGAAAUGACCAUGGUGCUGGGUUACUUUCUGGAUGAAAUAUGGCAUCUUUGUUCUGUAUCUCUUAUGGCACAAGAAACUCUAAGGAAUAUCUUCUAUAAGAGUGUUGAUUUCAUUCUUGAAGACCAUCCUUAAUUAGCAAUCACCUCUUAAAGGGCAUAUAGCAUCUGGAUAUUUUAGUCUUUCAAGAGAUGAGUUGGAAAGACAGUCACUGCAGUGAAAUAAGGAGACACCUUCUGUCUUUUCACAUCACUGCUUCCCUUUUUGCCAAGUCCUACCAUCUCUUCACUGGCUCACUUCCUUCAAAUCAUAGCUCAACCAUCUGCAUCUCCAAAGUUCUUUCUCAUAUUUCCACUUGCUAGUAUGGAAGAGCCGCACAUAAAGGAGGGGUCCUUUUAAUAAGUAUUCCUGUGCUCAUCAUGGAAUACAUGCUUGAAGUACAUUCACUGUCCAAUUGUUAGAAGGAAGCCAGACAUGCCAUUAAACUCCUGAUGUCAUGAGCCUGGUCGUAUGAUCCUGGGUUUCAGUGAAGUUGGUAGAACCGAGAUCUUCAGAGUUCAUCCAGUAUGUGUUGCUGUCUCUUGCUUUUGCCUCUGGAUUACAGUCAGAUUCAGUAUUAGAUAUCAGAUACUGACUACUGCUUCCAGAGUCUAGCCCUUAAUUACCUGCUUUAGUUCUGC